UGAGUAAAGUGGCGCGACGGGUGAGUAACACGUAGGUAACCUACCCAUUGGACGGGGAUAACAUGUCGAAAGACGUGCUAAUACCGCGUAAACUUCUAGUUUUUUCGGAUUUUAGAAGAAUAGAUGGCCUCUUCAUGAAAGCUAUCGACGAUGGAUGGGCCUGCGCAGCAUUAGCUAGUUGGUAGGGUAAAGGCCUACCAAGGCUACGAUGCUUAGCUGGUCUGAGAGGAUGAUCAGCCACACUGGAACUGAAACACGGUCCAGACUCCUACGGGAGGCAGCAGUAGGGAAUAUUGCGCAAUGGGGGAAACCCUGACGCAGCCACGCCGCGUGAGCGAUGAAGGUUUUAGGAUCGUAAAGCUCUGUCAGAGGGGACGAAACGCCAGUUAGAAUAAUACCUAAUUGGUUUGACGGUACCCUCAAAGGAAGCACCGGCUAACUCCGUG
rnacentral:rRNA from 1 species